rnacentral:lncRNA from 1 species
AGUCUGCCUGGCCCAGCCAACACUUCACCUUCUUUCUUAGCCAGUUUGCUGGGAGAACACCCUACCGGUAGCACAUCUUACCGUAUUCACCCCCUCCCAUCAAACUCGCCCCAAUUCUCUCUCCACAUCCAGAGCUCUCUCCCCAGGUUGGAAGGUGAGUUCACUGCUGACUUAAAUUAUUGCGUCUGCCGAACAUAGGCUCUCCAAGAAUGGUUUCAGUGCCUCUCAGCAGAGGGUUUCUUUGGGGGGGUAGGGGGGCGCUGGUGUGUUCAGAGAACAAAUAUGCUUAAAUCAUGCAAAUGAAUCCCCUGGAGUCAGGUUUACAAAAAAGGAGGAUUGCCUUUCUUCCCCCCCCCCCCCCCGCCCCACCUUUCUUUUCACUUUCUCCUUUAUUUCCUCUCUUCCCUCUACCUCUCUUCACCUCCCACCAACCCCAACCGCCCUUGGCUAAGUAGUUGGUUUGAAAAAGUUUGGAUUUCCUCACUGAGCUGGUCCCGCGGACAGCGGUUCUCGAGACUAGGGGACCGGGAAGGGGCGGCUGUCGAGCUCUGGCCGGGCCAGCGCUGAUGCGAGAGUUUCCGGGGAGUCCCGCCAGGUCCUUCCCCAGACACCUGAAGAGAUGGGGGAAGGAGAAUCAAUUUGGAGAGCCAAGUUUGCCUGACAUUUUGGAGCACACAUUUACCCAGGACCCCAAGUUCCUUGUAGCUGCUAAAUGCUGUACUAGUUCUAAAAUGUAAAUUAGCUUCAAGAUGUUUCCAUGAAGAAAAAUCCCGCCUUCAACUUCUACGUUAUUCAUCCUGCUUUUAGAAAUGACCCUUGCCCUGAUCUGAGGUGGAAGAAAUAAAGGUCUGGUAAAGAAAUGA